rnacentral:rRNA from 1 species
GUGGGGAAUAUUGGGCAAUGGGCGAAAGCCUGACCCAGCAACGCCGCGUGAAGGAAGAAGGUUUUCGGAUUGUAAACUUCUGUCCUCAGGGAAGAAGGAAGUGACGGUACCUGAGGAGGAAGCCCCGGCUAACUACGUGCCAGCAGCCGCGGUAAUACGUAGGGGGCGAGCGUUGUCCGGAAUGACUGGGCGUAAAGGGCGCGUAGACGGCUGUCUAAGUCUGGAGUGAAAGUCCUGCUUUCAAGGUGGGAAUUGCUUUGGAGACUGGAUGGCUUGAGUGCGGAAGAGGUAAGUGGAAUUCCCAGUGUAGCGGUGAAAUGCGUAGAGAUUGGGAAGAACACCAGUGGCGAAGGCGACUUACUGGGCCGUAACUGACGUUGAUGCGCGAAAGCGUGGGGAGCGAACAGGAUUAGAAACCCCUGUAGUCC